UGGGGAAUAUUGCACAAUGGGCGCAAGCCUGAUGCAGCCAUGCCGCGUGUAUGAAGAAGGCCUUCGGGUUGUAAAGUACUUUCAGUGGGGAGGAAGGGAGUAAAGUUAAUACCUUUGCUCAUUGACGUUACCCGCAGAAGAAGCACCGGCUAACUCCGUGCCAGCAGCCGCGGUAAUACGGAGGGUGCAAGCGUUAAUCGGAAUUACUGGGCGUAAAGCGCACGCAGGCGGUUUGUUAAGUCAGAUGUGAAAUCCCCGGGCUCAACCUGGGAACUGCAUCUGAUACUGGCAAGCUUGAGUCUCGUAGAGGGGGGUAGAAUUCCAGGUGUAGCGGUGAAAUGCGUAGAGAUCUGGAGGAAUACCGGUGGCGAAGGCGGCCCCCUGGACGAAGACUGACGCUCAGGUGCGAAAGCGUGGGGAGCAAACA
rnacentral:rRNA from 1 species